GGGAGGGCGCCCUCCUCCCGCCGGUUGGGAGCGUGGAGGGAAGGGAGGCGGACGGGCAAAAGCGCUUUGGAGACUCUGGAAAGUAGUGCUUUCUAACGGCAGGAUUUCAAAGUGGUAGCAGGAUUCUAGAUAGAAAAGUCAAGGAAAGCAUCUUUGAAGAGACAUCAUUUGUGAAACAUCCAAAUGAAGAGAGUGAACCUUUGAAUAUUUACGGGAAGAGUUUUCAGUCUGCAGAGUAAGGAGGUGCAAAGGCCCUGAGCACCCAGAUCAAGAAAUGGAACAUUACCAGCCUCCGGAAGCCUCCUUUGUGUCUCCAACCACGAGCCCCCACCCUCCAGGGUUACCUCUGUCUGACUUCGGAUGCUGUUGCCUGAUUUCACAUGCUUGUGAAUUGUAUAUAAAUGGAAUCUUUUGUGUCUGGCUUAUUUUGCUCAA
rnacentral:lncRNA from 1 species